ACGGGUGAGUAAUACAUCGGAACGUGCCCUGUGGUGGGGGAUAACUACUCGAAAGAUUAGCUAAUACCGCAUACGACCUGAGGGUGAAAGUGGGGGACCGCCAGGCCUCAUGCUAUAGGAGCGGCCGAUGUCUGAUUAGCUAGUUGGUGAGGUAAAGGCUCACCAAGGCGACGAUCACUAGCUGGUCUGAGAGGACGAUCAGCCACACUGGGACUGAGACACGGCCCAGACUCCUACGGGAGGCAGCAGUGGGGAAUUUUGGACAAUGGGCGAAAGCCUGAUCCAGCAAUGCCGCGUGUGUGAAGAAGGCCUUCGGGUUGUAAAGCACUUUUGUCCGGAAAGAAAGGGCUCUGGUUAAUACCUGGGGUCGAUGACGGUACCGGAAGAAUAAGGACCGGCUAACUACGUGCCAGCAGCCGCGGUAAUACGUAGGGUCCAAGCGUUAAUCGGAAUUACUGGGCGUAAAGCGUGCGCAGGCGGUUGUGCAAGACCGAUGUGAAAUCCCCGAGCUUAACUUGGGAAUUGCAUUGGUGACUGCACGGCUAGAGUGUGUCAGAGGGGGGUAGAAUUCCACGUGUA
rnacentral:rRNA from 1 species